rnacentral:rRNA from 1 species
AACUUGAGAGUUUGAUCCUGGCUCAGAACGAACGCUGGCGGCAGGCUUAACACAUGCAAGUCGAGCGCCCCGCAAGGGGAGCGGCAGACGGGUGAGUAACGCGUGGGAAUCUACCCAUCUCUACGGAACAACUCCGGGAAACUGGAGCUAAUACCGUAUACGUCCUUUUGGAGAAAGAUUUAUCGGAGAUGGAUGAGCCCGCGUUGGAUUAGCUAGUUGGUGGGGUAAUGGCCUACCAAGGCGACGAUCCAUAGCUGGUCUGAGAGGAUGAUCAGCCACAUUGGGACUGAGACACGGCCCAAACUCCUACGGGAGGCAGCAGUGGGGAAUAUUGGACAAUGGGCGAAAGCCUG